rnacentral:rRNA from 1 species
CAUGUGGUUCAAUUCGAAGCAACGCGCAGAACCUUACCAGCCCUUGACAUGCCACGACGGUUUCCAGAGAUGGAUUCCUCCCCGCAAGGGGCGUGGACACAGGUGCUGCAUGGCUGUCGUCAGCUCGUGUCGUGAGAUGUUGGGUUAAGUCCCGCAACGAGCGCAACCCUCGCCCUUAGUUGCCAUCAUUCAGUUGGGCACUCUAAGGGGACUGCCGGUGAUAAGCCGGAGGAAGGUGGGGAUGACGUCAAGUCCUCAUGGCCCUUACGGGCUGGGCUACACACGUGCUACAAUGGCGGUGACAGUGGGAUGCAAUGGAGUAAUCCUGCGCAAAUCUCAAAAAGCCGUCUCAGUUCGGAUUGUGCUCUGCAACUCGAGCACAUGAAGUUGGAAUCGCUAGUAAUCGCAGAUCAGCACGCUGCGGUGAAUACGUUCCCGGGCCUUGUACACACCGCCCGUCACACCAUGGGAGUUGGCUUUACCUGAAGACGGUGCGCUAACCGCAAGGA